UGGGGAAUUUUGGACAAUGGGCGCAAGCCUGAUCCAGCCAUGCCGCGUGGGUGAAGAAGGCCUUCGGGUUGUAAAGCCCUUUCGGCCGGGAAGAAAGCGUGCGGGCGAACAGUCUGCAUGGAUGACGGUACCGGAAGAAGAAGCACCGGCUAACUACGUGCCAGCAGCCGCGGUAAUACGUAGGGUGCGAGCGUUAAUCGGAAUUAUUGGGCGUAAAGCGUGCGCAGGCGGCGCCAUAAGACAGCUGUGA
rnacentral:rRNA from 1 species